rnacentral:tRNA from 1 species
UUAAAGCCCCUUCAAUUCCU